GGACAGGUGGCCGAGCGGUCAAUGGCAGCAGGCUGUAAACCUGCCGCUCCUUGCGAGCUACGGGGGUUCGAAUCCUCCCCUGUCCACCA
rnacentral:tRNA from 2 species